rnacentral:rRNA from 1 species
UACAGAGGUCUCAAGCGUUGUUCGGAUUCAUUGGGCGUAAAGGGUGCGUAGGUGGCGCUGUAAGUCGGGUGUGAAAUUCGGAGCUUAACUCCGAAACUGCAUUCGAUACUGCGGUGCUUGAGGACUGGAGAGGAGACUGGAAUUUACGGUGUAGCGGUGAAAUGCGUAGAUAUCGUAAGGAAGACCAGUGGCGAAGGCGGGUCUCUGGACAGUUCCUGACGCUGAGGCACGAAGGCCAGGGGAGCAAACGGG